rnacentral:rRNA from 1 species
UACGUAGGGGGCAAGCGUUGUCCGGAUUUAUUGGGCGUAAAGAGCGUGUAGGCGGCUGGGUAGGUCCGCUGUGAAAACUCGAGGCUUAACCUCGAGACGUCGGUGGAAACCGUAUGGCUAGAGUGCGGCAGAGGGGGAUGGAAUUCCGCGUGUAGCAGUGAAAUGCGUAGAUAUGCGGAGGAACACCGAUGGCGAAGGCAAUCCCCUGGGCCUGCACUGACGCUCAUGCACGAAAGCGUGGGGAGCAAACAGG